rnacentral:rRNA from 1 species
GAGUAAUGUCUGGGAAACUGCCUGAUGGAGGGGGAUAACUACUGGAAACGGUAGCUAAUACCGCAUAACGUCGCAAGACCAAAGAGGGGGACCUUCGGGCCUCUUGCCAUCGGAUGUGCCCAAAUGGGAUUAGCUAGUAGGUGGGGUAACGGCUCACCUAGGCGACGAUCCCUAGCUGGUCUGAGAGGAUGACCAGCCACACUGGAACUGAGACACGGUCCAGACUCCUACGGGAGGCAGCAGUGGGGAAUAUUGCACAAUGGGCGCAAGCCUGAUGCAGCCAUGCCGCGUGUAUGAAGAAGGCCUUCGGGUUGUAAAGUACUUUCAGCGGGGAGGAAGGCGAUAAGGUUAAUAACCUUGUCGAUUGACGUUACCCGCAGAAGAAGCACCGGCUAACUCCGUGCCAGCAGCCGCGGUAAUACGGAGGGUGCAAGCGUUAAUCGGAAUUACUGGGCGUAAAGCGCACGCAGGCGGUCUGUCAAGUCGGAUGUGAAAUCCCCGGGCUCAACCUGGGAACUGCAUUCGAAACUGGCAGGCUAGAGUCUUGUAGAGGGGGGUGGAAUUCCAG